rnacentral:sRNA from 1 species
AUACAUGGAAUUCAAAUCGUUGGGAUAUCAAUGCUCAAAAGCUGGUUUAAAGGAGUAUCUACAAUUCAUAAGUCUAAACCUACCAUAUUUACUAUGCUUAUUUUGCGUAUGUAAUAUAUAACGAUGUCAACUUUUCAAUUUAGUGUCUCAUCCACGCUAUCUUCUGUCUGCGUCUUUGUAUAUGUUUGUGUUUUACCAGCGCUAUCCUCUAUUUGUGUCCCUGCAUCUCCAUCUCACCCACAUCUGCAUCUGCGUUUGACUUAUCCUCAAUUUCAAUUUCCUCAUCUUUUUGGUGUUGAAGAAGUGGAUAACCUCUCUUCCAAUCUAACUCAGAGAAUACAUAAUUAUUCUUCAACAAGUGCAUAAGAACAUUAUCGUCUUCUUCUUCAUUCAAAUCACCAAGAACACUAAUUACCUCAAGAUCUUCUUCUUUACUCAUAAUUUGUUCAUAAGAAGGCUGAACAAUAGAUAAAUAUCUCGCACAAACAAGAAAACGAUCUGAUUUAUCGUCGGGUCGAGCAUAAGCCUUUUCUAAUUCUGACACAGAUCCCAACAGCCAUAGCUGCAAUUCCAUGGAAAACUUUUAAGAUAAAUCUUCGUAACACCACCAUGUCAAAUGCGUCUUUUCUCAGGGAUACACAUGAAUAUUCUUUUUUGCAUUGGUCAAAUACUCUUUUGGAACCGAAUAUUUUGUAAUGCCAUAUGACAGCAGGAAGACGAUCAAAAUUGCAAUCAACAUAGCAAGCUAUAGCAAGCCGUAGCUUGCUUUCCUAACCAUCUAAGACCUCUAAUUGUGCUAUCAACUCAUCCACUUUGAUAGGGGGUUUGUCAGGCAACAAAGGUCAAUCACACUCAAAAUCUACUGGGACUUUAUCUUCUUUUAUCCAGCAUGGUAAUCCUGUGACAAGAUAAAACUCAGUCAAUGAAAAUCUCAUCGACUUGUUGUUGAUGUAAAAUCAAAUCUCGUCUUUCCUUGACAACAUAAGCUGUCUUACACAAACACAAACACAAUUAAAUUUGAGAUUGAUUAACAUAUAAAUAUAUUUUGUUCAAAAAAAAGAUUAACAUAU